AUUUGUCGAAAACUAGGUAGUAAUUACUAACUAGGUUGCCACCACUAAUAGGAAUGAAAGUCUUCAUCUGUUCUUGGUGGGACAUUCAACUCCAAAAACUGUAUCGAUUUCUUCUCUUUUCCAUCUUUUCCAGCUAAUUAUCUUCUCUCUCCUUUCUGAAUGCACCUCUCACAACUCCAAUACCCGCUGUGGUAUUUUAUACUUUUUUACAUAUGUACGCAUUGGUGUGUCAGCCAAAACGCAACGCAGUGAAGCAGUAAAUUCUCUUCCCAGUGUUUCAUUGACGUUGUCGUUGGUGGGAGAAAGACGACGGAGUUCAUCGAAACAAGGCUUCAAACAUUGUUAAGAUCUGGUUUGGUAUUUCCUGUGAAAGAAGCCAAUGAAAAACGGAUAGGGAGUCUUAAGAACUGUAGCCUUUUCUUCAGAAAGAGCUAAAAUUUCGACAAAAAAGACUAACCCAAGGAUGGGAAUAACUUUCGCUUACUCCGAGUUGUUGAAUGCCAAAACUCAGUCGAUGUUUGUAAUGAGGAAGUAAUGAGGGAGUUCUGAGUUUGCAUCUACUUCGUCUGCUGUAUCAGUAUCGCCCCUAAAGAUCCGCCGUUUUGUCGGGUAGUUAAUUCAUAUAUCUGAGAUAUAUCAAUAUCUGAGAUAUAAAUUUAUGAAUCACGUCCGGGAAAGAGAUGGGAAUUACAAAUGGGGAUUGUAAACUUUUUGCGAAUGGAAACCAGAAGAAAUUUGGGUGAUUUCUGGUAGAAGUACAUGUUGUAGAAGGUUUUCAUUUUGAAAAACCUGACAAGGAGAUUCUCCGGCCAAAGCAGCUUCGAAUCCGAAAUGCAUGUAAUUAUUGCCUCCAUUUUCGAAUAACAUAGUUCGAGACAAUGGCAUCGGUUUCCGUCUCUUUCUUUUCUGCAAUGAUUGUGUUUUACUUGGGGAUGCUGGUUCUGUAGUAUUUUGCCACUCUGAUGUAGUAUUUGUAUGCAUUCUGCCUCAUACUCCAGCUCCUGGGCACCAGUUACUGUUUGAGAUGGAUAAAAUUGCGUCAUCGAAUAUUAGUUUGGGUUUCUUGGGACAACAAUGCUUUUCUAAUGAAAAUAUUACCAGUAGAAUCCAUCGAGGGAAUCGGAAAUGUUGGAACAUCUAGGCCAUCAAUGUACAGCCACCUAUCAAUAUUUCGGGGUAGUGGUGGCAACCUAGUUAUCUAGUUUUCGACAAAUUAAGAUAGCAGCGGCAUUUUUCUUUUGAGUAGCCUCCCCCUUAAAAGCACUUUUAUUUUCAAAGUAUAGUUCAAUUUGGUCAAACAAAACAAAAGAGGAAUAAAAGGGGGCGUUUUUUAAAAUAGAAAAAUGCCGCUGCUAUCUUAAUUUGUCGAAAACUAGGUAGUAAUUACUAACUAGGUUGCCACCACUAUUUCGGGGAACUGUGUUUGGCUUUUAGCCCGAAUUUGGGGGAUGGGGGGCAAGCGAAAGAUCAUUAAAAGGGCAUCAUCGAAUGGACCAAGAUUUUUCACAGAAAGAUACUAAAUGUAUUGUUACAAAAAUAUCCUGCAGUGGAGGGGAGUAGGGGACAUCUUUAUCCAUGCUUUGAAAUGUUAGAGUAAGUUUAAAUGGGUGAGAUGUAGAACUACAGGUAACAAAAUCAUAAGAUUUAGUUUAUUGUUCCUGUUGAGUUUAAUAUUUUUUAUAAAUAAGACCCAGUAAUCAAGCGCGCUGACAGAGAUGCUGUUUAAUAUCUCAUGUCAGUCUUCGUGGACUUUCAUUCGUCAGCUGUUCGGUUUCUCUGUGUCCAACUGUCAUCUGGUAAAGAGGUAAAGUUUAUCGCUUGUAAAACAAUUGUAAGAAAUUAUCUGGUGUGUAUUAUUUCACUAUAUUACUUAAUUUACGUCCCAGCAGUGAAAACCUCUCAGGUUGUAAUACAGUAUUAUAUUACUGAGACUAACUCUGUGUGUGAACUUGUUUAUUUAAUCUCAACAGUCCCGAACAAUCAACACAGCUUACCCCAUAUAGCGCAGAAUGUCCAAAGGACGUCCAUUUGAAGUCCCCACAUCGCAAUCGUAUCCCAAUACGUAACGGAUUUAAAAUGGACAUCCGUCGGAUUUGUGAUAUGGGGAGAGAAAUCGACAUGGAAAGGUUACAUCCAAUUAACAUCCAACAAUGGACUUGAAAAAGACUUUGUGGGAUGCAAAGCGUUUAUUAUAAAUAUUAUAUUCUGCUAUAAAUAUUUAUAAGAAAUAUUUGCUUUCUAUAGAUUUUUUAUCUUGUCACUAUUCAGUUUUUGGACUUAGAACAAUUGCAUGCCCUCAUUGGACGAUUCAGUGUGAUUCCAACAUUCGAUAUCGAUCAAUCAUAUUGAUCGAUACUUUAUGUCACUCAUUAAAAAAAGGGAAAAUAUUGAUUAUAUUUUCAUAAAAAAAUAUUUUUUAUUAGUUUACUAAAUAACAAUUUUUGAUGUAGAUAAUUCGACUUUUUUUAUAUUUUGGAAAAUAUUAAAAAUUAAUACGAAUUUUUGGCAACAUGUUUCUGCAUGCUUCGUCGAAAUCCAUACCCGCCAUUACUUGUCGUCUUUUCUUCGAGUGGGAGUGCGGUACAGUCACAUACUAUCUUUGUUGAAAUUUUUUAGACUUUUUGUGUUGAUUUUGAAGUGAAUUUUCUUAAAAUAAGUGACUAUUUUCUCGGAUAAUUACACUGCGAUUUUUUCUACGAUAUUUCAAAGAGUCCAUGUGAAUAAGUCGUGGUUAGUUUCACCACUUACGUGUUCGAGCCAACUAUCGCCAACUAUCGAGCUGUGUACCUGCGCCAUUAUUCGUUAUCUUUUUGGUGGAGCCAAGCAUCAUCACGUUGUCUCUGGAAUGAAUCCACCACAUUUUUGGAUAUUUUAAGUCCAAGAAGUCGCAUCUAGUUUCGCGUUCGCACCAAAUGUCUUAUUUGUCCUGAGCUUUGCACCUGCGUCAAUCGUAUAUUUUUGGUGAAAGUGUGUACCCAAACUAAGCAUUUUCAGAGUUUCUGUGGAGAAAACCAACCACCUUUUUUGGAUAAUUUGCAUUCCAAGAUUUUCUCAUGAUGGAGGGUGACUUUGAUAUAUCUUUUAAUUCAUCGUCGAAUUCUUCAUCUUCAUCUCGUUCCCCUGCAGCAUCAACGUCAUCAUCACAAUCAGUGAUAACCAAAAAAAUCUUCUUGUUACCAUAUCCAUUCUGUAAGUCUUCUAUCUGAUCGCUUAGAGGCCUGGCCAAUCGAUUUGUUUCAAGUAAAGCUGUUCAACUCCCCAUUCCUUCACGAAAUGGAUCUUUUGCACCUAAAUUUGCAAUUGUCGAGGAAAUCACUGAAGAUGUUGAUGAUGUUGACAAGUGGGUGGAAGUUGUAUGUGAGAGUUGGUUUGAUGGUGAAUACUGUUUAUUUCCUCCGAAAAGCAAAGAAAAAUAUAUUACGACUUAUGUAAAAACAUUUCAUCAGCCAGACUCAAGUUGGGUAAAAUAUCCUGCAAAAUUAAUCAAAACAUAUGCAAGAAAAAAACUCAAUAAAUCAGUUAAGGGGGAUGAUCUGUGUACAACCGACGCAGAUGAAAGGAAAAAACCAGAAAAUCGCGAUGUCAGGAAAUCCCGAGAAGAUUUAAAUGAAGAAGAUGUCAUGGCAAUCAAUCGUUCAAAGAAAACAUCUUUAAAAAGAAUUCGGCAAUACCCGGCUAGUGGUAGCGAAGAAGAAAUGGCAAAUUCUCCUGUUCCGCCAAAACCACCAGCAAUAUUGAUAAAAAUGUUUUUUACGGUAAUUUUGUACAGAUCGAACUCAUCAUUCCCCCCCCCCCCCCGAUAUCGUCCUGUAAAUUACGGGUAUUCUGUUCCUGAAUUUGGAGAUGAUGCGAAUUUCCGUUAAUUGAAACUGAUUAGAACCAGUCAAACAGUGACAAUCCAGCAAACACCAGAAUUAAUCAUGCGAGACAUGGAUCUGAAAAGCAUAGUUUGUAACCUAAUACGUCCAGCAACAGCAUUGACACAAUUGAAGAUGAUUGCAAUAUUUCAAAAAAUAUUCAAUUACCGUUUCCAGGCCAAGCUGUGCAUUUUUCAACUAGACAUCGUCCAGAAAAUUACGGUUACUCUGUUCCAUCAUUCAGCGAUGAAGAAGACUCUACGGACACUAGAACUUCUGCUAUGGAACCUGAGAAAGCAAAAACCAAAUCGUUUCAUUAAAGUUACACCAAUCAUUCAUUUACUGAAUCAAAAUUAGCGCUGUCAUCAACAAGUAUGGGAAUUCAAAUUCAGACAAAGGAAAGAGUUUGUUACCAUCAUCCAAUAAUAAACAGCAAAAAAGUGCUUGGUCAGGAUCCCAGUCAGCUGUUUCUCGUUUCGCCAAUGACAAAGCGGCUCCUGAAUCCCAACCCUAUUAUUCCCUUUACGACAAUGAUAACGCAUCUCCGAGAUCCGAGCCAUAUUAUUUUCAGCCAUAUUAUUUUCAGAAACUUCGUCACAACUCUUAUAUCGAGGCAUAGUCAAAGCAAACUUUGGAAUCCAGGAUAAUCAGAAGUUAACAAGUGGAUUAUUUGAACGAAGCUGGAGUUGGCUCUUCAAAAGAAAAUUUUAAAUAAUGAGCUGGAGCCAGAAGGUUUUGAUUUCGAAAUCUUCCCACUAGCUUCAAUGUUGGAAUUUGAAGAAGUGAACGACCAGCUCAAGCCUUUUCAUGCUCGAAAAUCUUUAAAGAAGAAAUUUGCAGUAAUUUGAGGAAAAAGUCCUGCAAGUGUAGUGAGGAAAAUCCUAAAAAAAGGUUCUGGAUAAGGAGUUCGGCAAGCAAUUUAUCUGUUACGGGCGAAGAGGAUAUUGCAGCUUGGGAUCCUCUCUUCUUGGAAAAAUAAUACUAGAAUCCGCUACUUCUAGUGAGACGCUACCAAUUACAGAAACAGAGGCCAUUGACGCAGCAAUAUCUUAGCUUCACCCUUUAAAGGAUAAGAAGACUUAAGAUAAUUGAAACAUCAGACCUAUCGACCAUGGUUUCCUCGAUCAACCAAGAACAUUACAUUUUCAUUAUUUUAGUUAUGAAUUUUGGUGAUUUCUUUUUUCAUUGUCUUUUCUUUUAAUUAACAAUUAACAACUAAAUUGCAAUUAGCAGUUUUCGUGUUGAAUUUAUUCUCUUUGUAUUUAUUGUAAGAAAUACAGUUUCUUUGUUUUUA
rnacentral:lncRNA from 1 species